AUUGAACGCUGGCGGCAGGCCUAACACAUGCAAGUCGAACGAGUGGCGGACGGGUGAGUAAUGUCUGGGAAACUGCCUGAUGGAGGGGGAUAACUACUGGAAACGGUAGCUAAUACCGCAUACCAUCGGAUGUGCCCAGAUGGGAUUAGCUAGUAGGUGGGGUAACGGCUCAACUAGGCGACGAUCCCUAGCUGGUCUGAGAGGAUGACCGGCCACACUGGAACUGAGACACGGUCCAGACUGCUACGUGAGGCAGCAGUGUGGAAUACUGCACAAGGGGCGCAAGCGGGAUGGAGACAGUCCGCGUGGAUGAAGAAGGGCUUCGGGGUGUAAAGUAUUUUCAGCGGGGAGGCGGUGCCCGCAGAAGAAGCACCGGAUAACUCCGUGCCAGCAGCCGCGGUAAUAC
rnacentral:rRNA from 1 species